rnacentral:rRNA from 1 species
GAUGAACGCUGGCGGCGUGCUUAACACAUGCAAGUCGAACGGAAAGGCUCCUGCUUGCAGGGGUACUCGAGUGGCGAACGGGUCAGUAACACGUGGGUGAUCUGCCCUGCACUUCGGGAUAAGCCUGGGAAACUGGGUCUAAUACCGGAUAGGACGAUGGUUUGGAUGCCAUUGUGGAAAGUUUUUUCGGUGUGGGAUGAGCUCGCGGCCUAUCAGCUUGUUGGUGGGGUAAUGGCCUACCAAGGCGUCGACGGGUAGCCGGCCUGAGAGGGUGUACGGCCACAUUGGGACUGAGAUACGGCCCAGACUCCUACGGGAGGCAGCAGUGGGGAAUAUUGCACAAUGGGCGCAAGCCUGAUGCAGCGACGCCGCGUGGGGGAUGACGGCCUUCGGGUUGUAAACUCCUUUCGCUAGGGACGAAGCGCAAGUGACGGUACCUGGAGAAGAAGCACCGGCUAACUACGUG